GACAGAGGGUGCAAACGUUGCUCGGAAUCACUGGGCGUAAAGGGCGUGUAGGCGGGACGGUAAGUCGGGUGUGAAAUCCCUAGGCUCAACCUAGGAACUGCACUCGAAACUACCAUUCUUGAGUGUCGGAGAGGAAAGCGGAAUUCCUGGUGUAGAGGUGAAAUUCGUAGAUAUCAGGAGGAACACCAGUGGCGAAGGCGGCUUUCUGGACGAUAACUGACGCUGAGACGCGAAAGCGUGGGGAGCAAACAGG
rnacentral:rRNA from 1 species